rnacentral:rRNA from 1 species
AUGCAAUGGCUGUUCAAAAUGAGUGAUCUCGGCCUACUGUCCUACUACUUGGGUAUUGAAGUUGAGCAGAGAAGUGGUGAGAUCAAGAUCUGUCAAAGCAGCUAUGCUCAGAAGAUUUUGGAGGUUGCAGGCAUGGAGCAAUGCAAACCGUGUGCAACUCCAAUGGAAUACCGCCUCAAGCUCAGCAAAAGGGAUGGAGUUGAAGCCGUGGAUGCCACUUUGUACAGGAGUGUGAUCGGCAGUCUUCGUUACUUGGUCAAUACAAGGCCUGAUAUAGCAUGUGUCGUCGGCAUUGUGAGCAGGUACAUGGAGGCACCAAGCAAGCAGCAUUGGACGGCAGUGAAACAAAUUCUUAGGUACGUACAAGGUACUAAGGGGUAUGGAUGCUGCUACAGGGCUGGUGCAAAGGGUUUGGUGCUGACAUGUUACAGUGAUAGUGACCAUGCCGGGGACAUAGAUGACAGAAAGAGCACUUCUGGAGUUGUGUUCAUGCUUGGAAAGAACAUUGUGACAUGGAGCUCGCAGAAACAAAAGAUAGUGACCACAUCAUCCUGCGAGGCGGAGUAUGUGGCAGCAGCGAGCGGCGCUUGUCAAGGGGUCUGGCUCAGCAGAUUGCUCGGGGAAAUGACAGGACAAGCUCCGGCCAUGUUCGACCUUAUGGUUGAUAACCAGUCAGCUAUCGCACUGAGCAAAAAUCCGGUGCAUCACGACCGGAGCAAGCAUAUUGAUGUUAAGUAUCACUUCAUCAGGGGGUGCGUCGAGGAAGGAAGAGCUGGCGUGAAGCACAUUGGAACAACUGAUCAACUUGCUGAUCUUCUAACCAAGGCAUUGGGGCGCACCAGAUUCGUUGAGAUGAGGAAGAUGCUUGGUGUCGUUGAAGUGAAGACUGUGCAACGGGCUUAA